CGAGAAGAUUAAGAAAGAGAAAGAACGCUUGAGGGCUUCUACUCGCCAGGGGACAAUCCGUCUUCGUGGGAAGCAGAACCGGCAGGGCCUGAGUGCCCCCUGCCAAGAGUCCAGCAGUGACAGCGAGGAGGAGGAGGAGGAACAGGCCAGAAUCAAUUCGUCAGACAGUGAUGAAGGAUCAGAAGAAGAAAAGCCUCAAGGAUUACUGAGAGCAAAGCAACUCACCAGUGAUGAGGUGAACCCUACAGAAGCAGGAAAGCAGGGAGAGAAGAGAAAGAUGACAGACGCAUAAAACCUGCACUCAUUGUCUGUAUUGUUUUCAACAGUUUGUUUUUUAAUAUAUAUAUUUUUAAUUGAUUUCAGAGAGGAAUGGAGAGGGAAAGAUAGAAACAUCAAUGAUAAGAGAGAAUCCUUGAUUGGCUGCCUCCUGUACGCCCCCUACUGGGGAUCGAGUCCACAACCAGGCAUGUGCCCUUGACCGGAAUCAAACCCGGGACUCUUCAGUCCGCAGGCCAACACUCUAUCCAAACUGGC